CUGGCCAUGGUUAUUGUCUGCACAACAAACGGUACCCAUGAAAGAGUUCCAUCCAUGAUCACAUCUCGUCCUUCGUUCAGUGCAGUUACAAGCAGGGAUGAUGCUGCAUCUGUAGAUGAUUGGUGCACCUACAAAUGCAAUUUAUAUUAAUCAAGUCCAGAAUGGCGAAACAUAGAUGAUGUAAGCUUCUGGUCAUAUGAUGUCUGGAAAGAGAUGCAUACCAGUUCAGCCGUUUGAAGCAUGUCAUGGUGCCCCCUAGAGCUUAGUGCUUUAUAAAUAACAUCCGACUCUUUGAAUGCAUCAGCCUCUAUCACAACAGCAUUUGCAGCUGCUCCUGCCCAGAAUGUUCUGUUCCACCCCAGUUACAAGAUAUAUUAGUUAAUAUGACAUUGGUAUUCUUACUCUUUGAGGAUGUCCUUAAGCACAGUACUCUUCCCAGCUCCCAUACCUCCCCCCAUCAGCAGGAGGACGGGGCUUCUGUCUUUAUGAGCCAUGGGAACCAUCACGUCGGUGCACUUAUCAUCAUUGGAUACGAGUCCAAUCGCCUUCAUCUCCUCUACGAGUGUGUUAAAUACUCUUGCCACCUUCAGAUUCUUUGUCACCCUCUCGAAUCUCUGUU